AUAAGGGGUUGUGAACCCACCUGGGGAUGAGGCCUGGUCUUAUGGAAGGUGGACUUAGCUUCGCUGGGCGGACAGCUCUGGCCCAGGGUGAUAGCAGUGCCCUCUCUGGACUUUGCCUAGGUUCCGUGCUUUCUCUUCUGUGGUCUCACUCUUCCCUACUCUUGCCCCUCACUCUGAGGUUAAGGGGUCACUUAAAACCUUGCCCCUGGGUCAUCCGGUAAGCCUGAGGAGGAUGUAGAGUCGGUGCUGGAGUCUUGGGCACGGCAUUUUGUGUUCACCAUGGCAAGCAGAUGGCACCAGGAGAUAUGGAGCCCCUGCCAGUGUGAGUCCGUAGCAGUGCAGGAGGGCUCACCCUGGAGGAGACAGCGGCCUCGGUUGACGCCUACACAGUGAAUUCCAGAGGCUUAGGAAGCGCGUCCCUGCCCUGGGUCCAGGCCUUUCUCAGGAAGCCCUGUGCUCAGGAGGCCAUCGUUGAAGUCAGCUUGUAGGGGGUGGGCAGGUGCUUCCAGCCAGAGGGGCCGUCGGCUGUGAAUGUUCCAGAUGAAUGUCUUGUUCUGGGAGCAUCAUUCUUUGCGGAUGCAUGAAUGGCAGCAGGCACCCUUUUUCAUGGGGGUAGAGGCGUUCGACUGCUGCAUCUUCUAAACAAGCCUCCAUCCAGCCUUUGUAGUUCUGUGCUGCGAACUUGGCCUCAAGAAGAUUGCGUAAGGUGUAGGACACUUUAACUUCUGCGCAGCGUGCUACACUGUAGAUCGGGAGCCCAGUGACCUCGCCCACCUUCCCUGCUUCUGCAGCCUGCCUGCCUCUGCAUUGGUCAGAGGGAUUCUUAACUGAAAACUUGUGGGUGUUGG
rnacentral:lncRNA from 1 species